rnacentral:rRNA from 1 species
UACGGAGGGUGCAAACGUUGCUCGGAAUCAUUGGGCGUAAAGCGCACGUAGGCGGCCUGUUAAGUCGGAUGUGAAAUCCCUCGGCUCAACCGAGGAAGUGCAUUCGAAACUGGCGGGCUUGAAUAUGGAAGAGGGUCGCGGAAUUCCCGGUGUAGAGGUGAAAUUCGUAGAUAUCGGGAGGAACACCAGUGGCGAAGGCGGCGACCUGGGCCAAUAUUGACGCUGAGGUGCGAAAGCGUGGGGAGCAAACAGG